AUGGAGGAGAUCUCCUCCAACGAGCGCGCUCGCCUCGACGGCCGUCCAGAAGUCACCGCCACCGCCCUCACCAUCGGCCAGGGGACCGGUUCCUCCUCCGACCGCGGCUCCGUCGACCGGGGCAAAGGCCCUGUCGCCGCGCCCGCUGGUGAUCGCGGCUCCACUGAACGGGACAGGCCCGCGCGUGGCCGUGGGCGCGGCCGCGGUGCCCCUCCUACUGCUGGUGGGUCUUCGUCCGGGCGUGGCGCUCCAUCUCCAGGCUCCGUCGCGCCGCCCCCGACAGGCUACUUCGCACCAUACGGCGCACACAUCCCCGGGCUGCCUCCGCCUCGGGCCCCCUGGGCCGCGCCAAACGCUGCGGGGGUCCUAGGCCCGCGUCCUCCGCCACCACAUCAGGCCUACCCCGUAGCCGCCGCCUCUCCGUCCGGUGGCCCGACCUGGGAGCAGUACAACCAGCUCUAUGCGGCGCUCGAGAACCUCUCCGUCCACCAGCAGCAGGCCGGCGGCACUAUGGACUGGAUCCUCGACACGGGCGCCACGUCGCACGUCGCAGGACCUAGCAACGGGGAACAUCGUCAUGAGGUCCAAUAG
rnacentral:rRNA from 1 species